AACGAACGCUGGCGGCAUGCCUAACACAUGCAAGUCGAACGAGACCUUCGGGUCUAGUGGCGCACGGGUGCGUAACGCGUGGGAAUCUGCCCUUGGGUUCGGAAUAACAGUUAGAAAUGACUGCUAAUACCGGAUGAUGACUUCGGUCCAAAGAUUUAUCGCCCAAGGAUGAGCCCGCGUAGGAUUAGCUAGUUGGUGAGGUAAAGGCUCACCAAGGCGACGAUCCUUAGCUGGUCUGAGAGGAUGAUCAGCCACACUGGGACUGAGACACGGCCCAGACUCCUACGGGAGGCAGCAGUGGGGAAUAUUGGACAAUGGGCGAAAGCCUGAUCCAGCAAUGCCGCGUGAGUGAUGAAGGCCCUAGGGUUGUAAAGCUCUUUUACCCGGGAUGAUAAUGACAGUACCGGGAGAAUAAGUCCCGGCUAACUCCGUGCCAGUCGCCGCCGUAAGAC
rnacentral:rRNA from 1 species